GCACGAAAGGCGUAACGAUUUGGGCACUGUCUCAACGAGAGACUCGGUGAAAUCAUAGUACCUGUGAAGAUGCAGGUUACCCGCGACAGGACGGAAAGACCCCGUGGAGCUUUACUGUAGCCUGAUAUUGAAAUUCGGCACAGCUUGUACAGGAUAGGUAGGAGCCUUUGAAACGUGAGCGCUAGCUUACGUGGAGGCGUUGGUGGGAUACUACCCUAGCUGUGUUGGCUUUCUAACCCGCACCACUUAUCGUGGUGGGAGACAGUGUCAGGCGGGCAGUUUGACUGGGGCGGUCGCCUCCUAAAAGGUAACGGAGGCGCUCAAAGGUUCCCUCAGAAUGGUUGGAAAUCAUUCAUAGAGUGUAAAGGCAUAAGGGAGCUUGACUGCGAGACCUACAAGUCGAGCAGGGUCGAAAGACGGACUUAGUGAUCC
rnacentral:rRNA from 1 species